rnacentral:rRNA from 1 species
UACAGAGGGUGCGAGCGUUAAUCGGAAUUACUGGGCGUAAAGCGCACGUAGGUGGAUAUUUAAGUCGGAAGUGAAAGCCCUGGGCUUAACCUGGGAAUUGCCUCCGAUACUGGAUAUCUAGAGUAUGGUAGAGGAUAGUGGAAUUUCCGGUGUAGCGGUGAAAUGCGUAGAUAUCGGAAGGAACACCAGUGGCGAAGGCGGCGAUCUGGACCAAUACUGACACGUAGGUGCGAAAGCGUGGGGAGCAAACAGG